UUACGCUCUGAUGAAUAUACUCGGAAAAAGGAAACAGAUUCAGCAGACUAAAACUCUCACCGUAUAAAUACAUGAGCGCCCUUUGAGUGGAAUCAUUCACUUCUCAAAUUUCAUCUUUCUUUACGAUAACGAGCUCGCAAUCGAAUUCUCAGAAAUGGUUGCUUCAAGGAAAUUAACUGCUUUUCUAUUGGUCCUCGUUUUGGGUCUUCUUGUUCCUGGACCUCAGAUGAACGGCGUUGAAGCUGGUCAUCACGGUCAUGGUGGAGGAAGCGGAAUUGAAGCCCUGUUGGCAGCAGGUAUCCUUGCCAAACUUCUCGGACAUCAUCACCACCAUGGUCAUCAUCAUCACCAUCAUGGACAUCACCACGGAUGGGCAUGAUGACAAAAACGAAUUGAUUUCAAUGCAUGAUCAUGCACAUUUAUCUAUUUAUGUGUAAAUAUGUGGUGUAAAUAACUUCUCAUCUGUCAUUAUCACACAAAAUAAAAUCACGAUUCAGUUGCAAAAU